rnacentral:rRNA from 1 species
AACAGGAUUAGAUACCCUGGUAGUCCACGCCCUAAACGAUGUCUACUAGUUGUCGGGUCUUAAUUGACUUGGUAACGCAGCUAACGCGUGAAGUAGACCGCCUGGGGAGUACGGUCGCAAGAUUAAAACUCAAAGGAAUUGACGGGGACCCGCACAAGCGGUGGAUGAUGUGGAUUAAUUCGAUGCAACGCGAAAAACCUUACCUACACUUGACAUGUCGCAAAUCCAUAAGAGAUUUUGGAGUGCUCGAAAGAGAAUGCGAACACAGGUGCUGCAUGGCUGUCGUCAGCUCGUGUCGUGAGAUGUUGGGUUAAGUCCCGCAACGAGCGCAACCCUUUUCAUUAGUUGCUACGCAAGGGCACUCUAAUGAUACUGCCGGUGACAAACCGGAGGAAGGUGGGGAUGACGUCAAGUCCUCAUGGCCCUUAUGUGUAGGGCUUCACACGUCAUGCAAUGGUCGGUACAGAGGGUCGCCAACCCGCGAGGGGGAGCCAAUCCCAGAAAACCGAUCGUAGUCCGGAUCGCACUCUGCAACUCGAGUGCGUGAAGUCGGAAUCGCUAGUAAUCGCGGAUCAGCAUGUCGCGGUGAAUACGUUCCCGGGUCUUGUACACACCGCCCGUCACACCAUGGGAGUGGGUUUUACCAGAAGUAGUUAGCUUAACCGCAAGGAGGGCGAUUACCACGGUAGGGCUCAUGACUGGGGUGAAGUCGUAACAAGGUAACC